rnacentral:tRNA from 1 species
CCUUUCCCCGCCUAAGGGCGGCCGUAAAGGCGGGGAAAGCCCCGAUAGGCGUUAGCCUAUUACUUCAGGUUUGCAAUCUGACAUGUGGGAACACCUCAGGGCU